ACGUAGGGGGCGAGCGUUGUCCGGAAUUACUGGGCGUAAAGGGUGCGUAGGCGGCGACUUAAGUUGGAUGUGAAAUCCCCGGGCUUAACCUGGGUGGUGCAUCCAAAACUGAGUCACUAGAGUGCAGGAGAGGGAAGCGGAAUUCCUAGUGUAGCGGUGAAAUGCGUAGAUAUUAGGAGGAACACCAGUGGCGAAGGCGGCUUUCUGGACUGUAACUGACGCUGAGGCACGAAAGCGUGGGGAGCAAACAG
rnacentral:rRNA from 1 species